rnacentral:rRNA from 1 species
GACGAACGCUGGCGGUGGGCUUAACACAUGCAAGUCGAACGGAAAGGCCCUGCUUUUGUGGGGUUCUCGAGUGGCGAACGGGUGAGUAACAGGUGAGUAACCUGCCCUUGACUUUGGUAUAACUUCAGGAAACGGGGGCUAAUACCGUAUAGGAGCUCCUGCUGCAUGGUGGGGGUUGGAAAUUUUCGGCGGUUGGGGAUGGAUUCGCGGCUUAUCAGCUUGUUGGUUGGGGAGUGGCUUACCAAGGCUUUGACGGGUAGCCGGCCUGAGAGGGUGACCGGCCACAUUGGGCCUGAGAUACGGCCCAGACUCCUACGGGAGGCAGCAGUGGGGAAUAUUGCACAGUGGGAGGAAGCCUGUUGCAGCAACGCCGCGUGCGGGAUGACGGCCUUCGGGUUGUAAACCGCUUUCGCCUGUGACGACGCGUGAGUGACGGUAAUGGGUAAAGAAGCACCGGCUAACUACGUG